UGGCAGGUGAACAGAUAGUGUCCUGACGCUGAUGUUCCCCUCACUGCUCCUGUGCUGACCCGGAUUGUUUGGCAGCUGCCUGGAAGUUUCAUACCAAUGCAAUAAAAACCCAUCACCUGACAGCAGGAGGAGAUAUUGGAGAACUUGGAGUUCCAUCCUAGAAGAUGCACCUAGGCAAAUGGGUCCACCAUUUGUCUUCAUUUUAAAAAUAUGAAGGACCCACAAUAACCUCUUUUGUCAUGACUACUUCAGGGGCUCCAGGUUGAAUGAUUACAAAUGACAGCCUUGGAGACAAAAAUACUUGAACAAGAAAGAUCCUCAGAGAAACAUGCUUUUAUAGCAAAAGGAUCUUUUUUAGUUUCAGCUAAGAAUAAGAGAAACUGGCUGCAGAAGAAUGGCCUGGAGAAAAGCCACAGGGAGACUAGGAGACCUUGGACCGCAAUGUUGCUGGGCUUCGACAUGAGCUACUCCCUUGAGGGAAUAUCAAUAGAGUUGACACCGAACAUGGCAGGCACUGAACCAGACACAUCAUUUAAUGGUUUUGUGCCAUCUUCCUCAAUGCAUGGCAAACUCCUGGUGUAAGCAAAGGCUAAUUCUUUCCCUUCCUAAAUGGGGGAGUACAUGAUUUUCUCAAAUAUGUAGAUUACAGUUGAUUUUGGAAAGAAUUAUUUAUGGUCUUGGUGUUCUGAGGCUACAGCGUCUGUAAUGAGCUGUCAGAUGAUGCGAGAAGCUAGGCUUAGUUCAGGCAAACCAGAAGUUGAUAAACUCUAACCUCAAUGAGGAUUAUUUUACAACCUCGAGGAGGAUUAUUUUACAGAUUUAUGGUAUUCCUUUGGCAGUCUUGACUGUUCAGAUUGACUGAGCUGCCUGAUCCACAAACAUAGUUUUAACAUCUCUGGCAACAGACAUAGAAGUUAGCAGCCUCAGUGCAUUGUGUCUGUUUCAAGGUGUGCUGGUGAGAGAACUCAAAGAAACAGGUAUUUCUUGUAUGUAACAUGAGAUUUUUUUUACCUUUUUGGUGCAUUGCUUGCUGAGGUGCCUUGGCGAUUAAUUAAUCCAGGAAGCAAAGUGUCCUGCCUGCUCUCAAAGUCAUGGUUGUGGUCAUGUACAGCUCAGCUAUACUUAGGCUUUUGUGUAUUUGUGAUACACGCAGAAGUAAAACUAGUAGUGAGAAAAGUUCUCAUCGAACUUCUGUUCAAUAUCCUGUUUAACUGUGGAAUUCUCCCUGCUUGACAGUGGCCAGUCUGUUAUAGUUUUGAGGUCUUCACAAUUUCAUCACUACCUCUUUGGCAUCCCAAACUCCUCACAGGUGUAGCUUCUCUCACCUCUUCAAGGGGCUAGGAUCUUCUGG
rnacentral:lncRNA from 1 species